CAAUAGCGUAUAUUUAAGUUGUUGCAGUUAAAAAGCUCGUAGUCGGAUUUUGGCUGAGAACGAUCGGUCCGCCGUUAGGUGUGCACUGAUUGGUCUCAGCUUCCUGGUGAGGAGGUGUGCUUCACGGCCACUUAGUCACCGUGGUUACUUUGAAAAAAUUAGAGUGUUCAAAGCGGGCUUACGCUUGAAUAUUUCAGCAUGGAAUAACACUAUAGGACUCCUGUCCUAUUUCGUUGGUCUCGGGACGGGAGUAAUGAUUAAGAGGAACAGUUGGGGGCAUUCGUAUUUCAUUGUCAGAGGUGAAAUUCUUGGAUUUAUGAAAGACGAACUUCUGCGAAAGCAUUUGCCAAGGAUGUUUUCAUUGA
rnacentral:rRNA from 1 species